rnacentral:misc_RNA from 1 species
UUCAUUGCUUCGCUCGUCUUUCGCGAUCCUCACAAACACUCGUGUAUCGUCAAAAUUCAAAAACGAUGGGAAUGUACGAAAAGAAAAAAAGAAAAAAGAAAAGAAGACGAGAAGGAAGAGAAAAACAUCCGCAGAUACCAGAAGUCAGUUACGAACGUGCAAAACCAGUUACGUCAGGCUAGACUGCCGAAAGGAAUGUUAAAACACGAUAAUGAAUAUCACGCGGAAACAAGGACUGUUUACUCAUGAUGUCUUCAUGCGUUUUUAAAUAUUCCAACGAUAUCCAAACUACGUCUCAGAGGAAAC